rnacentral:misc_RNA from 1 species
UUUCCGUAGGUGAACCUGCGGAAGGAUCAUUAGAGAUGGCCGUGGUGGCCUAAAGACCCGCGCCGCGAGAGCGUGCGUGACACAACCAAACCAAACCUGUGCACCCGUCGGCCUCGGCCGUCAUAACAUAACUUAUUAGUAGACCUGAACGUGAGAAACAAAACCUAUAUAACUGUCAACAACGGAUCUCUUGGCUCUCGCAUCGAUGAAGAACGCAGC